AGCUCCCUCAGCCAAGAUAUGGGAAGAAGCCUGACUUGCAAAUGGGGAAUGGAGGCAUAAAAAGACCAGAUGAUUUCUCCAAGGUUGUGAACAUUGUCAGUAGCAGAGGAGGAAGGUGAAUCUGAAUCUCAGAACAUCCUACCACCUGGACCAUCCUUUCGGGAGUGCUGCUCACUCCUAAUACACUUGUACUUGCAAGGAGUCUUGGACAGGCCUGGGAAUAAAUUUACCUAUUAAUGAAAGGGUGAA